rnacentral:lncRNA from 1 species
CUCAGUUACAAGAUGCAGUGAUAUGUGUGGUGUGAAAUGCUAGCUCAGCUGGCUUUUGAUAUUUUGGAUGCUCUGUUUAAAUCUAAUUCGGUGGUGCGUGUAGCGUUGGUCUACUACGUGUAAUAACGUGUGGACUGAUUUCCUUUUCUUGAAGGGAUGAAGCUGGAACUCUUUUCGUUAUCUAAAAAUGUGUGGUGUGAAUGUGUGAUGUAGCUGCUUUUUCAGACACCACCAGUUUUCUGCUUUUUCAGACACCACCAGUUUUUCUUUAAAAAAAAGUAAAUUGCUGCAGCCAACAUUUUUCAUGAAAAACUGUGGCUCUUGCAUCCUAGCGAUAGGCUGAUGAAAUAGCAAUGGCGCAAUGCAGAUUUGGCAAUGCAAGGAAAUCCUGAAUCAAGAGAAGAACCGGUGCGAAUACGCGUCAUCUUCAGAAGAUGAUGGUAUCUUGUUGUGAGCUCGAAACAGAUAAGAAGAUGUGGUGACUCAAUUGAGUGAGAAUAUGCAGUAUAUUUAGAAGGUUCGACGAUAUCUUUGUUAGCUCGAAACAGAUCAGGAGGUGGUGUGAGUGACUCACUCGGUCGUCUCAGGCUCAGGCGAGGAGUACUUCUGGAUGGCGGCGAUGAUCCUCUCCUUGUCCCUCGUCGCGAACGACUCCACCAGCACCCCGUCCUUG